GUGAAGAAUUGAAGCUCAGCUUAGCUCAGCUCCGGUAUUUCUAGUUGUUGCAUGGUGGUAGCUUCUCUGCUGCUCACUUUCUCCCCUGUUGUUUUGGUAUACUGUGUUCUUGUGAUGGUCUUGAUUGUCAAUUCUUAAGUCUCAACCAACUAACUUUGGUCUCCUGGUCAGAGAAUAUUCAAAGAGACAUGCAUACAUCCUGCAAAAAAGAAUUCUGCACACACCGAGGAAAAAAAGAUUAUAUGAUAGCAUGGGAGUGAGUGACUAAAGGAAGACUACUUUGUUGCUUACACGCAUCAGACAUAAUAGGGUAAUAAAUAAAAGGAACCGAAAAGAUAAUAGACCUAGUUAACGCAACUUUAGAUAAAUAGUAGUAAGGGAUUUGUCCAUCAUGGUUAAAAUAUGUACUCUUCCAUGGUGGUUUGUCAGAGGUUUGUUAUUUUAAGGUUUAGGCCAUUACUGAGAGAUUUAGAAUACAAACAUACCUUGGUGGGUAGCACGGUGGACGACCUGUUGUCGGUAAAGUUGAAUCUUGCUCCUGUUCCAUAUCUAGUGGAUGUACAUGCAUGCCAAGAACAGGAAAUGGAACAGUGAACUGAUUUGAUUCUGUACCACUCUGGUACAGUUUACAUCACUUCUACUAUUAAGUUGGUGACUGGUUUAAGCCAGCAUUAUAUGCUCAAGCAGACAACAAGCAGUCAGGCUUACUCUCACCAGGCAACUGAACUAACUGUGCUCUUAUUUCGUCUGUAGCAAUUUUCUCUGACUGUUCCUGCAAAAGAACUCAUUAAGAUUGAUGCAAGUAAUUAACAUGUCAGAUUUUUUUUAUAUUAAAAAAAAAGGUGACAAGGGAAUCAUCGAUGGACAAGGUGAUGUAUGGUGGAACAUGUGGAGGCAAAGGACACUUCAGCAUACCAGGCCCAACCUUCUGGAAUUCAUGCAUUCCAGUGGCAUUCACAUCUCCAACAUUGUUCUCAAGAAUUCACCCUUCUGGAACAUCCAUCCUGUUUAUUGCGAGUAAGCACACGCUUGAAAGUUGAAAUGUUCAUCUCCUUCCUGCAAAAAUUUGUCACUGCUUAAUAUUUCUUUCAGAGCAAUGUUGGAAGGCCGAAAAAUAGUUGAUAUGUGAAAAUUUCAAUACAAUCCAUUAUGGAAUAGUUACCAGAAAUAAGAAAUCUUGUGACACAGCUACAAAAUUCUUGAGAAUGUUCAGUUUCAAAUGCCCAUUUAUGCUGAAAUACUGAUCCAAUUCAUUUUCUACACCCAGCAAUGUGGUCAUAACCAACAUGAUGAUCAUCGCACCACAUGACUCGCCCAACACCGAUGGAGUUGAUCCAGGUAUGCAAAUUCAUCUUAAGCUUCUGGCACACAAACAAACCACAUAUAAAUUGAUUAAUUUUUCUUUGCUACAUGCCUGACCAUCCAAGAGUACAUGGAACAUGCUAAUAAUACUGAAUCCUCCCACAGAUUCUAGCACCAACGUAUGCAUCGAGGACUCCUACAUCUCAACCGGCGACGAUCUCGUGGCCAUCAAGAGCGGCUGGGACGAGUACGGCAUCGCCUACGGGCGGCCGAGCUCGGGCAUCACCAUCAGGCGCGUCAGGGGCUCGUCCCCCUUCAGCGGCAUCGCCAUCGGCAGCGAGGCAUCGGGAGGCGUCAGCAACGUGCUGGUGGAGGACUGCAGCAUCUUCAACAGCGGCUACGGCAUCCACAUCAAGACCAACAUUGGGAGGGGCGGCUUCAUCAGGAACAUCACCGUUGACAACGUCCGCAUGAACAGCGUCCGCAACGGGCUGCGCAUCGCCGGCGAUGUCGGUGACCACCCAGAUGAGCACUUCAGCCAGCUCGCGCUGCCCACCGUGGAUGCUGUCAGCAUCAAGAACGUGUGGGGUGUCAAUGUGCAGCAGCCCGGGUCGAUCGAGGGGAUCAGGAACUCGCCGUUCACGAGGAUAUGCCUCGCCAACGUGAAGCUGUUUGGGUGGAGGAAUAAUGCAGCUUGGAAGUGCAGGGACGUCCAUGGCGCGGCGCUGGGUGUGCAGCCGGGGCCGUGUGCAGAGCUCACGACCAGCCUUUCUUCAGGGUUCUGCAGCUAUUAGUGUGAUCCAGUUGUAUAAUGUUUUUUGAUUAGAAAGGUUGUGCUUGCUUUUUUUUUAGGUUUGACUGCUCCCUAAUUGUGGUUGGGAUUGAUCAAUAUGUUAGGCUUGUGCUAAUCAGUUAAGGAGUUUUAGGUGUCUUUUUGUUAGAGAAAGGUUUGGCUUCUAAGUUGUCAGUCUGAGUGCAAAUAUGUUCUAAUCUGAAUAAUAAAUCCCAGCUUGUGUGAGAUUAAUACUCCGUCAGACUUGUGAUCAAAUGAGAGUUGAAUGUGCACAUUUUUACUCCUAAUUUAUCUGUUGGCUGUUCCACAAACAAUUCUAGGGUCAUCAGAGGCGGCUCAAUGGAUGAGGAAGGAGGCUCUCUGCAAGAGGCGAUUAGAUUUUUUUUUUUUGAGACCAAGAGGCGAUUAGAUUGGGUCUACUCAAUCAGAACAAAGGAUAUAAUCCAACAGCUAACCUACAAAGAUAAGUCAGUGUGCGUAUCAAAAAUUGGAAAUGGAUAGGAUAUGGUACAAGCACUGAUCGAAAAUUCCUGUUUCGUUUGUCAGGUACUUCUAUAUGAUUGUGAUACUGACAUAAUAUGUGCUACUAACAUUCUCAUUUGGACAAUUUCUACUCUGAUAACUGUACUAUACUUUAGGAAAUGUGUUCUGAAAACUGUGGCAGCAAAUCUUCCAGUUCAUGAUCCUAAUAAUGAUAGUUCAAUCAAAGACACUAACAACAUCUAAAAUCAAGAUGUAAAUGGAAACAAAAACACUCUGGACAGGAUAAAACAAAGAAAAAAGGGCUGCGCUUCAAAAGUAAUACUCCCGGGAUAAUGUAAUCCCUAAUCUUACUGCUCUAAAUUAAACCCCCUUUUCCACUGACGAUGAUUAACAAAAGCUAAUCCCCAGAUACUUGUUAAACCUGCUAUUAGUCCUUGCUACUUAUGCAUCAUAUAUAUAAUAUCCAGAAAUUUUAGUACUCUAGCAGAUAGUAUGAUUCAGCGUUCGUACCCAUAGGGUUAGCUCGCGAUCAGAUCUCGCAGGCGCAGCGCCAGCCUAGAUCGGAUCUCGGCAUCCAUCUCGAUCCCCCUAAUCUCUCGUCUUCAUCCUCCUCGGCAAGCUCGUCACCGGCCGGAUCGAGCCCGAAACGGCGCCCGGAUCCAGCCGAUCCGCCGCCUCCGGGGAACCCUCCAUCGACGGCGGCGGUGGGUGGGGACGGCGGCGGGGAUGGGUGGGUG
rnacentral:lncRNA from 1 species